rnacentral:misc_RNA from 1 species
GAAAUGCGAUAAGUAAUGUGAAUUGCAGAAUUCAGUGAAUCAUCGAAUCUUUGAACGCACAUUGCGCCCGCCAGCACUCUGGCGGGCAUGCCUGUUCGAGCGUCAUUUCAACCCUCAGAACCCCUUGCGGGAUCUGGCGUUGGGGAUUGGCAUCCAGCGAGCCCCGAAAUCUAGUGGCGGUCCCUCCGCGACCUCCCCUGUGCAGUAGCGAUACCUCGCAGCGGGACAGCGGUCUGACCACGCCGUAAAACCCCCAACUUCUCAAGGUUGACCUCGAAUCAGGUAGGAAUACCCGCUGAACUUAAGC